UAAGGAAUAUUGGUCAAUGGGCGGGAGCCUGAACCAGCCACGCCGCGUGCAGGAAGAAGGCCCUAUGGGUUGUAAACUGCUUUUAUACGGGAAGAAAGUACCCCAUGCGUGGGGUCGUGACGGUACCGUAUGAAUAAGCAUCGGCUAACUCCGUGCCAGCAGCCGCGGUAAUACGGAGGAUGCGAGCGUUAUCCGGAUUCAUUGGGUUUAAAGGGUGCGUAGGCGGGCAUAUAAGUCAGAGGUGAAAUCCGGCAGCUCAACUGUCGCACUGCCUUUGAUACUGUAUGUCUUGAGUUAAGUUGAAGCAGGCGGAAUGUGACAUGUAGCGGUGAAAUGCAUAGAUAUGUCACAGAACACCGAUAGCGAAGGCAGCCUGCUAAAGUUAUACUGACGCUGAUGC
rnacentral:rRNA from 1 species